GACCACCUUUGCACUUAUCUCCCGCCACUCAGCCCCCCCCCCCUUUUCUAUCCACGUGUAUAUGGACAAACUUCAUCGUCCGAUCUCAUUCACGCUGGAGAGCCCACAGGGAGCACAUCUAACUCUUGCUUGAGCUCUAGACUAUUUUCAUUCCCUUAUUUCACUUUGGAUUGGUGCUUUUAUCUAUAGGCUACACCCGCCUGAAAUCUUAGCAACCUAAAGCUGAUAGCAGAUUUGCUGGCACCAGAUCUGUAGACAUCAGACCUACUCAUCCUUCAAGAGUCCAAGUAACAACGCUAGCCACAGACUCGUCACUGGCUUAACUGAUUGGUAGACGCAGCUUAGCUCUGCAACCAUACAAGUUGGACUGCACACGGAGCCUGGAUCCACUACGCCAGCCCACCAGCAGACAGCAUCAGUACCAGCCACACCCGUCUCACCAGUGCAGCACAGGACCAAAAGCUAAGCAACCAGCCUAAUGACACUCAGACCACUUGGUUCUAAUAUCUGAUGAUGAUAGUCCUAUAUAUGUAAAUAAGCUAGAUCCCAUACUAGCAACUGUACAGCAUUUCACCUUUCAUUAUCUUAUUUUGUAUAAUAAACUGUACAUAAGUUUACAUCUAAAUAUAGUAUUUGUUGCCUGCAUUAUAACGCUGUGCUUGUAGUUUAUAUGUGCAAGUAAGGAUUCUCAAACUAUAAAAUCCCCUAGACACCCAAAACGGCCAAUAUC